rnacentral:rRNA from 1 species
AUGAAGCUCGCCGCACGACCCAGAACAGUGGCGGUGGGUUUCUAUCCUCCGGCUUACCCAACACGCCGGCUCCCCGGAAGCGCCGAUCAGGGAACCUCUCACUCGUCAUCAGGCCAUUCCACUGGGACUCAAGUUCCUUUGUUCAAGACUGUUCCUGGUGCUAUGGCCAAACCCAGCAAGAAGCUCAGGGUUGAUAAACCGGCUGUAGAUCCCAAGGUUGCUGACCUGGAGAAACAGAGAAUGUCUGAGUCUUUGCAUCAAACUUCAGAAGCAGCCAUGGAUGAUCCGCCACCAGAAGAGCACCCUGUCACCACAGACCCCAUGAACGUUGAUCCAGAAAAUGCUAAGCCGCCCAGCCCCGCUCAGCCGGCUCAAGAAACCAAAGAUGUCAUAGUUACUGGGAUGGCUUACACAACACCAGGUAACCCCACAGUCUUGUCCAAGCACAGCGCCAAAGAGGAAUUCUCCAUUGUUGACAAAGGCAAGUGGAAAAUGGAUCUGGACAGCUAUGCCCAAUUCAAUGCCCAGGAGCUUCACGCGGGUUACUUGAACCGCCUCCACACCAGCCGUGACUUUGAGGCCGGCUUGGUUAAUCUCAUGAAAGAUUGUUUUGAGAGAGCAGAAGAUGCCGAAGCUGCCCUUAAACCGGUGACUGAUGAGUUGUCCGAUUUAAAACAUCAAAUUAGUAGCAUGACAGACGCCAUCUUUGGCUCCAGAAUUUCCCACCUUGGCUCAAACAUGCGCAUGAAGCUGAAAGCCGCCUACACUCUUGUAGAGCAAUUAUACACUGGCGCUCAACGAGCUAUCUCUACUGCCUCUCAUAAGAAGCAACCACCUUCUCUCAUCAAGGAAACAUUGGAAAAGUUGUUUGUGCUACCACAAAGGGUUGAAGAGUUAAAACGAUCAGCCGCCAGAGCCGGUGCCAUUACCGCCCUGAGCCGAGCAAAGGCGUGGCAAGCAGAACUUGACCCGAAAGAUAUAUCAACCGGCUGUCCCAGCUUAAAAGAAGAUGGGUCUUCCUUCAGCGCCGAUGACUUCACAAAGAUAGUAAGGGAGAUGCGUCCUUGGCAAGCAAACUGGCUGAGGAAACUGAUCUCUCCAAGUACCAUCCGGUUUAUGAUGCUGAAAAUGCCAAAGUGA